ACUCCUACGGGAGGCAGCAGUGGGGAAUCUUGCGCAAUGGGCGAAAGCCUGACGCAGCCAUGCCGCGUGGAUGAUGAAGGUCUUAGGAUUGUAAAAUCCUUUCMGCGGGGACGAUAAUGACGGUACCCGCAGAAGAAGCCCCGGCUAACUUCGUGCCAGCAGCCGCGGUAAUACGAAGGGGGCUAGCGUUGCUCGGAAUUACUGGGCGUAAAGGGAGCGUAGGCGGGUCGUUUAGUCAGAGGUGAAAUCCCGGGGCUCAACCUCGGAACUGCCUUUGAUACUGGCGACCUUGAGUAUGGGAGAGGUAAGCGGAACUCCGAGUGUAGAGGUGAAAUUCGUAGAUAUUCGRAAGAACACCAGUGGCGAAGGCGGCUUACUGGCCCAUUACUGACGCUGAGGCUCGAAAGCGUGGGGAGCAAACAGGAUUAGAUACCCUGGUAGUCCACGCCGUAAACGAUGARUGCUAGUUGUCGGCAUGCAUGCAUGUCGGUGACGCAGCUAACGCAUUAAGCACUCCGCCUGGGGAGUACGGUCGCAAGAUUAAAACUCAAAGGAAUUGACGG
rnacentral:rRNA from 1 species